AGAGUGAACGCUGGCGGCAGGCCUAAUACAUGCAAGUCGAACGGCAGCACGGCAGAGCUUGCUCUGUGGGUGGCGAGUGGCGGACGGGUGAGGAAUACAUGGGAAUCUGCCCAGUCGUGGGGGAUAACGUAGGGAAACUUACGCUAAUACCGCAUGCGCCCUUCGGGGGAAAGCCGGGGACCUUCGGGCCUGGCGCGAUUGGAUGAGCCCAUGUCGGAUUAGCUAGUUGGCGGGGUAACGCCCACCAAGGCGACGAUCCGUAGCUGGUCUGAGAGGAUGAUCAGCCACACUGGAACUGGGACACGGUCAGACUCCUA
rnacentral:rRNA from 1 species